rfam:Cryptococcus bestiolae CBS 10118 unplaced genomic scaffold supercont1.2, whole genome shotgun sequence.
AUCUACGGCCACAGAACUCAUAAAAUACCGCAUUCCGUUAGCUCUGCAAAGUCAAGUUGAAUAUCGCUCGGUCAGUACCAAGGUCGGGGACGACUUGGGAAUUCCGGGUGCUGUAGUUA